rnacentral:lncRNA from 1 species
UGACCUCCUUAAGCCUAUGUCUUCAUCUGAAACAUAGGGAGACAGCCAGGCAUGGUGGCUCAUGCCUGUAAUGCCAUUGUCCCUGAAGUCAAGGAGAGCACACAGGAUUAGAAAGCCCAUCAGACAAACACAGCUGCGCAAACUGCACAGGGAAGAGAAUUCGGACUGCUCCAUCUUCAGGCUGCGAACCCUGUGUGAACCAUUUGCCUCAGAAAUCAAAAGGACUGAGAAGGCAAUGAAGACUCCAGUGCUUAGUAAACUGCAAGCUGCUGACCAGCUGCCAGGGGUUAUUCAUUCUCAGUGGCCUAAGGCCUCCUAAAAUGAAGGCUGUACCUCUGAGAGCUUCAGCUUCCUCUAAGAUUCAAGAGAACGUUCUUCUUACCAGAGCUGGGUGGUGUCUUUGGAGCGGGCGGGGUUUUUGCUGGAAUCCUGGUG